UGGGGAAUUUUGCGCAAUGGGGGAAACCCUGACGCAGCAACGCCGCGUGGAGGAUGAAAUAUCUUGGUAUGUAAACUCCUUUCGAUGGGGAAGAUUAUGACGGUACCCAUAGAAGAAGCCCCGGCUAACUUCGUGCCAGCAGCCGCGGUAAUACGAGGGGGGCAAGCGUUGUUCGGAUUUAUUGGGCGUAAAGGGUGCGUAGGCGGUUUGGCAAGUCUUAUGUGAAAUCUUCGGGCUCAACCCGAAGCCUGCAUAAGAAACUGCCGGGCUUGAGUAUGGGAGAGGUGAGUGGAAUUUCCGGUGUAGCGGUGAAAUGCGUAGAUAUCGGAAGGAACACCUGUGGCGAAAGCGGCUCACUGGACCAUAACUGACGCUGAUGCACGAAAGCUAGGGGAGCAAACAGGAUUAGAUACCCUGGUAGUCCACGCCAUAAACGAUGACAACUAGAUGUUGGGAGGGUCUGCCUCUCGGUGUCGCAGCUAACGCGUUAAGUUGUCCGCCUGGGGAGUACGGCCGCAAGGUUG
rnacentral:rRNA from 1 species